AAUAAUGCCUAUUUACGAGAGAUAACUUUUAAAUAAAGUAGAUAACUGCGGUUAUCGACUGAAAUAUCGAUAUUAGAGAGAACCCGUUUAUUAUUUGAGAGAGAGAGAGAGUAGGAUAAAAACUCAUUAGAACCGUUCUUAGAAAAUAACAAAUGGCCGACGUCUUAAAUUGUCAUCAAACUCGUUGAAUAAAAAUAGUGUUAAAUAAAUGAACGUUAUUCAAGAAAACUAAUAAAUCUUCACCCACAAGUUAUGUUAAAUAAUAAAAUAAAAUUAUCAUCACACUCACUGCGAAAAAGAAAGGAUUGGAGUUCAAUGUGGUAUCUGGAUUAUGGAUUGUCUCUUGUGUUCGGAGUACGAUCUAGUUUUCUGGGUUUUCUACAGGAUUCUUCUUACGGGAAAUGGAACUGUUUGUUCUUCGGAAAUAGGGUCUUGGAUGAUUUCGAAGAAGUAUCAGGAGUUCUCGGAAUAGGUUGUAGGAUGAUUCUCUUUUUAUUUUAUAUAUCACAUACAUUGGAGUACACGCCAAAUUUCAACAAUGAGUAAAGUUAAA